rnacentral:rRNA from 1 species
AUGACCAACUGCUUGUUAAUCAGUAUUACCAAGAAUCAUGGUGCGACUGCCUCCAGCUCCAGAAUCAUACCACAAGUCAACGGAGACGGCGCCGAACAUGCCGCGAGUGACCACCUGCUCGCCGGACUACUCAAGACCGGAAGGUAUUUGAUUGUGAUUGAUGGCGUGAAUACACAUGAGUUGUACGACGUACUAUCUGCAUUCUCUUGGGCUGAUGGAAUGGGCGGCAGAAUUAUCAUGACGACGACCAUUCAACUACCAGCAGCGACAUGCUGCAAAUGUGGCAAUGGUUCAUCACUUGCUAUGGAUAGCACAAGCCAGGUUUUCAUUGGGGAGCUGACAGAGAGUGGAUUUGUGGAGGCCUGCCUCCAUCUUCGUGAUGACACACUGGCAAGAAUGCACCGCAGCAACAACGAGAUCCUAUCCAGCCCCGUUGUCCAGGACUUAUUGCUGUAUUUCUGCAUGUUCCCACGCGAUCAUCCUGUCAGGAGGAAUCCCCUGAUAAGGAGAUGGCUGGCUGAAGGGCUUGUGUUUCCUCAGCCUGAAACAGAGAAUUUUUCCCAGGAUGUUGCGGUCAAGAAUUUGGAGAGCCUCAUCAGCCGCAACAUCAUUCAGCCCAUUCAAGUGAGGACCUAUGGAAAUGUGAAGAAAUGCCAAACUUCUGGGAUAAUGCUCAACUCCAUUUCCAGCAAAUCCAAGUCACAGAAUUUCAUCACCAUGUUGUGUGGCGGCCAGACAACAGAGAAGAAUCUGCCGGGCAAAGAGAUUCGCCGGCUUUCCCUCCAUCUUAAUGGUGCGGCAAAUGGGCCACUGAAUUUGCCAAAGGAGUUAUCUCGUCUCCAUACUCUGGCAGUAUUCCCUGAUGAUACAAAUGUGACCAGGCAUCAAGCUAAUUUGAAUUAUGCCGAGUAUAAGCUACUGCGGGUUUUGGACCUCAAAGAAUGUGCUGAUGUGAAAGCAGAACAUGUUGGCAAAAUAUGUGACCUGUUGCUGCUCAAAUAUCUGAGCCUCGGAGACAGUAUUGACAAGGUUCCAAGGAAAAUAGCGAAGCUAAAAUGGUUGGAGACUCUUGACAUGAGGAGAACCCAGGUAGUGAUGUUGCCAAUUGAAGUCCUCCACCUCCCCGGGUUGAAACACCUCCUUGGAAAGUUUCAGUUACUUGAAGGUGACUGCACACAUAAGAAGCUAGAGAAGCUCUUGUCAGAAGAUAGUGAAUUGCAGAGGCUUUCUGGAUUUGUCACUGACAAAAACGAAGGGUUUGCGCAGCUGAUGAGUCGCAUGGGGAAGUUGAGGAAGGUGAAAAUAUGGUGCGAUUCCACUGCAGAUGUGAUGAAACUAGUUUGUGUUUUAGGGGCCACGGAGAAAUUCAUUUGCGGAGGCCUGGAUAUGACAAGAGUUGACCGUUCCUUAUCUAUCGACCUCCAAGGAUGCCCAACAGAAUGCUCAGAACAAUUCAUGGAUUCUCUGCAAGCUACAGGCCGUCUUACCUCGCUCAAAUUGCGCGGAAAGCUGAUGCGACUCCCUCAGUUCAAGGCAAAGCUGAACUACAUCGAGGAGUUGUGCCUCUCAAGAACUAAUCUGAGCGGGGACACAAUCCUAGAUGGCCUGUCUGAACUUAGAAUGACACUUAAGUGUCUUAAACUGGUAGAAGAUAAGCUUGGGCACUUGGUCAUAAAACCGGAGCAUUUCCGAAGCCUGAAGGGGUUAUGCCUUGUGGGCGAGCAAAGUAUGGAGGACAUAACAAUCCAAGAUGAAGCUAUGCCCUACCUUGUGUCACUUCAUAUGCUUUGUGCAGCUCUAGGUAAUCUUCCUGGCGUCGACAUCACACGCAUGGCAAGGCUAAAAGAAGUCACGCUCCAUUCUGGAGUACAAGAGUCGAUAAAGGAUGGGUGGCAAACAGCUGCAAAGAACCAUCCUAAUAGACCCAGCGUUUUGUUUAUCCACCAUGCUAACUCCUCACCUAGAGGCUCUCCGCCGUGCCAAGCAACAGCGGAAAUUGCAAAUCAGACCAAACCUAUUGGGAGAAAAUUCACCGCCUCCAUCAUGGGUGGCAUCUUUGGUUGUGCACGGCCAAGAUCCUGA